GAGAAAGCAAUAGCCUUCAGUUUGGCCUCCUAAUUUUCUAGCAUUUGGCUGAUGCAUAGGAACAAAUUAACGCAAUUGGCAACCACUUAUUAUUUGGAAAAACAAUAAAAAUAAAUUAAUUAAUUAACAAGGCAAUCCCUAAUAGAAUUCCACUGAACUUAGCUGAACCUAUUUGUCUUUUGUGUGCAAUAAACAUGUCAGAGGAGUUGAUGAAAGUGGAGAAUGAGAUAUGAAAUUGUCAGUAAGCAGCAUAAUUUCAGGAAUUUAAAAGCAAAGCAGUACCUGUUCACUGGUUUCAAAGUUUGUUAGCUUUCUCAGGCAUUGGAGCAAUGCAGCUAAAGACUCCCUUCAGCUCAAGGGCAGCCAUUACUUUUAACAUUUCCAUGCUCUUUACACCGACUUGAUGAUUCUGCGAUAUCUGAAGAGGUAAAAGAUUUGCAAAUAGCAGAGGCAACCACAAUGAAAAUAUAAUGCCAUUUGGGAAAAGGAAAGCAAGAACAUAUUAAACAACUGGACCUAUUUUCAUGAUUUUAUAUUAUUAAUCAGAAAUUUUUCAUACGAGCAUGUGAAGCUCCAAAUAUACGAUAGCAUUGAAGGAAGUACUACUAAAUGUAACACAUUUCAAAUUGCAUAUUUCUUACUCUUUGCAGCCACCGGCAUCUCGAGCAUCAUUGACAUCAUCAUCUUCGUCAUCCUGUAUGCAGCAUAUAGUUGGAACAAAGAAAUGUUAGAAUCUAUAUCCAUACUGUAGAGAAAAAAAAACUUUACUCAUAAAAUUUGUUUAGACGAAAAUACACGUGAAAGUAUAACAAUAAUAAUAACACGAUAAAUUUUAAUGUUCUUUAGGCGAAUCAAUUAGGAUUUGAUUAUUAUGUUUAAAUUUGGCACCACCUAUUUUUUCUCCUCCACCACAAUCCCCAUCUGAAAAAUUCCACCUCUGUUACAUAAUUAACGAGGCAGGCCUUGCUCCAGAGGGCUGCUGCAGAUGUAAAAGAUUUCAAGAUUUCAAUAUGGUACAUGCAUCUCCGAUACAAGGAUUGAGGAAGCAUACUUUGUUAAAAACAUGAAUUAAAAGCAACAUGUCAUGGACAUUAAAAGCAACAAAAACCGAAACGGAUAUACACUCUUAUAGUAUAGUGACCACAACUGAAAAGCCAAGCAACAGUAACUCCAUGCCCAGAUAAAGUUAGCAUAAUGUAAACAUCAAAUUUAUCAGACAACAGGAGCAGAUGUACUCUUUUCCAGAAGCGAAUAGAUAGUUGAAAUCAAAUACAAAAUUAAACGGAGAAAAACGAAACAUACCCAGAGAAUUUGUGCCAUUCGUGUACCCAUAAUUCCAGUUCCUGAAAAACAAAAUGAAGAAGUAUAAAGAUAACUUGAGCUGAAUUGCUGGUUGCCCGAGAGGAGAGAAGGAAAUAGAGGAACAAUGAUUUUGUGGGGGAAAGAAUACGAAAUUAGGUGAUGGGAGUUGAAUGGGAACUGGAGAGAAUAAUAUGGUUUUGGGGGGAAGCGGAAAAAGUGUGCUUCAUUUGUGCGGGAAUAUGAGGAAAAGUCCCUUUUAUAGUAAGUUAAAAUAAAAGAAACGGUGCGUUUUAGUGCCAUUAGCGCUGGAGGAACUACUUGGAAAGGUCGAAAUCUUUGAAAUGCGAUAACUUUGUGCUCGGAGGUCCGAUUGAGGUGUUUUUUUUUUUUAAACUGCAUAACUUUUCGAGACGAAUGCGGUGGUCAAGUUCCGAAGGAGCUUGGGGGGCUUUUCGAACCCUUAAUUUUACAUUUUCUCAUGUUUUGACACAUUUUUUGUACCACGAACUUUUUAAACCUAAUUUUUUUUUUACCCUAAGACGUUUUAAUUUUGAUUCGACCACAGAAAACAACAACUUAAAUAUCCAAUUACGAUGUGAAAUCAUUAAUUAUUUGUUUUAUUAUUAAUUUAUAUUUUACUUUUCCAUUUAAAUAAUAUUUGCCCAUAGUUACAAGAAUUCAUGGUGGCUCAGCGGUGGGUUUGAAACUUUAUUUGUGAUUUUGACCUCCAUGUAACGGGUUCAAGCUGCAGCUAAAUCUUUGUAUCUUCUUUUCAAAUAUUAAGGCAACUUCCCGCGCAGGUAGCCUCCAAUGAACUGCGGGAAAGGGCAACGGGUAGGGGCCCCAGCGCGCGGCACCAUCGCGCGCAGGCAGCCAACUCUCGCGCGCAAGGCAGCCAACGAUCUUAUGGGCGCGCGCGCGUUGCCCACUCUCGCGCGGCAAGGCAGCCAACUCUCGCGCGGCAAGGCUGCCCACGCUCGAGCGCAAGGCUGCGCACUCUGGCGCGCGAAGCUCGCGCGCAAGCAAGCCACGCUCGCGCGCCAGGCUGCGCACGCUCGCGCGGCAAGGAAGCGAUCGCGCGCGAGGCGCGCACGCUGGCGCGCGGCUGCCCACCCUCGCACGCAAGGCAGCCAACGCUGGCGCGCGAGGCUGCCCACGCUCGCCGGCAAGGAAGCCAACUCUUGCGCGCGAGGCUGCC
rnacentral:lncRNA from 1 species